UACGUAGGGUGCAAGCGUUAAUCGGAAUUACUGGGCGUAAAGCGUGCGCAGGCGGUUAUGCAAGACAGAGGUGAAAUCCCCGGGCUCAACCUGGGAACUGCCUUUGUGACUGCAUAGCUAGAGUACGGUAGAGGGGGAUGGAAUUCCGCGUGUAGCAGUGAAAUGCGCAGGUAUCAGGAGGAACACCGAAGGCGAAGGCAGUGUCCUGGGGAGUACCUGACGCUCAGGUGCGAAAGCCAGGGGAGCGAACGGG
rnacentral:rRNA from 1 species